rnacentral:tRNA from 1 species
GUUUAAGUAGUUUAAUUAAAACUUUAGUUUGUGGGGCUAAUAAUAUGUGAAUCAUUUUAAACA